GGGGAUGACGUCAGGUCAUCAUGGCCUUACGGCCAGGGCUACACACGUGCUACAAUGGUGCGCACAGAGGGCUGCAAACCCGCGAGGGGGAGCCAAUCUCACAAAACGCAUCGUAGUCCGGAUCGCAGUCUGCAACUCGACUGCGUGAAGUCGGAAUCGCUAGUAAUCGUGAAUCAGAAUGUCACGGUGAAUACGUUCCCGGGCCUUGUACACACCGCCCGUCACACCAUGGGAGUGGAUUGCACCAGAAGUGGUUAGUCUAACUUCGGGAGGACGAUCACCACGGUGUGGUUCAUGACUGGGGUGAAGUCGUAACAAGGUAACCGUA
rnacentral:rRNA from 1 species